GAUGAACGCUGGCGGCGUGCCUAAUACAUGCAAGUCGAGCGAACAGAUAAGGAGCUUGCUCCUUUGACGUUAGCGGCGGACGGGUGAGUAACACGUGGAUAACCUACCUAUAAGACUGGGAUAACUUCGGGAAACCGGAGCUAAUACCGGAUAACAUAUUGAACCGCAUGGUUCAAUAGUGAAAGGCGGCUUUGCUGUCACUUAUAGAUGGAUCCGCGCCGUAUUAGCUAGUUGGUAAGGUAACGGCUUACCAAGGCAACGAUACGUAGCCGACCUGAGAGGGUGAUCGGCCACACUGGAACUGAGACACGGUCCAGACUCCUACGGGAGGCAGCAGUAGGGAAUCUUCCGCAAAGGGCGAAAGCCUGACGGAGCAAUGCCGCGUGAGUGAUGAAGGUCUUCGGAUCGUAAAACUCUGUUAUCAGGGAAGAACAAAUGUGUAAGUAACUGUGCACAUCUUGACGGUACCUGAUCAGAAAGCCACGGCUAACUACGUG
rnacentral:rRNA from 1 species